rfam:Rattus norvegicus chromosome 18, whole genome shotgun sequence.
GGGGAUUUAGCUCAGCGGUAGAGCGCUUGCCUAGUGAGUGCAAGACCCUGGGUUCGGUCCCCAGCUCCG